AGCGAACGCUGGCGGCAGGCUUAACACAUGCGAGUCGAGCGGGCAUCCUUGUGGUGUCAGCGGCAGACGGGUGAGUAACGCGUGGGAACGUGCCCUACGGUUCGGAAUAACUCAGGGAAACUUGAGCUAAUACCGGAUACGUGCGAGAGCAGAAAGGUUUAUCUGCCGAAGGAUCGGCCCGCGUCUGAUUAGCUAGUUGGUGAGGUUACGGCUCACCAAGGCGACGAUCAGUAGCUGGUCUGAGAGGAUGAUCAGCCACACUGGGACUGAGACACGGCCCAGACUCCUACGGGAGGCAGCAGUGGGGAAUAUUGGACAAUGGGGGCAACCCUGAUCCAGCCAUGCCGCGUGAGUGAUGACGGCCUUAGGGUUGUAAAGCUCUUUUCUCCGGGACGAUAAUGACGGUACCGGAGGAAUAAGCCCCGGCUAACUUCGUG
rnacentral:rRNA from 1 species